rnacentral:misc_RNA from 1 species
AAGUCGUAACAAGGUUUCCGUAGGUGAACCUGCGGAAGGAUCAUUAUUGAAAAAGACAAGACGCCCCGUUUUUUCGUAAAAUGGGUUCAAUACCCACAACCGUGUAUACCUUACCUUUGUUGCUUUGGCAGGCCGCCCGUCCGGGCUGUUGGCUUCGGCCUGACUAGGCGCCCAUGCCAGAGGAUCCCAAACUCUGUGUUUAGUGAUGUCUGAGUAAUAUAUUAAAUAUUUAAA